AAAGGCACGAGACGUGAAGAGAACAAUAAAUGAGCAAGAGAGAGAGAGAGAGAGAGAGAGAGAGAGAGAGAGAGAGAGAGAGAGAGAGGGGAAAAGGGUGGAAAGGGAAAAGAGGAGGGUGAUGAGGCUUAUGAUAACCCUCAUGAUCGUCACGUCGUUUUUCAUUUGGUUCUCCCGAUGUCCUCCCAGAAUUCCACGCUUCCUCUCUCUCUCAUCUUCCUUUCCUUCCACACAGCUCUGCGCCCUCUCUCUCUCUCUGUGCUUUUGUUUUCUUUUUUCCUUUGUCCGUUCCUUCUCUCUCUCAC
rnacentral:sRNA from 1 species